rnacentral:lncRNA from 1 species
GUUAAGCAUAUACAAAUCUGUGCAUUAAAACUUAAAGUUCACCUUACUCUAACAUCACAGACAGCUUUUCUACAUUUUCCAUUUUGUUUCUAAGGAACACAGAGAUUUGUUCCACUAUGAAAAGAAAAGGGGUUCUGCGUAUGGACCCCUGCACAUGACCUCACUUCCUUGGCGACAGGUCCAAACAGAACUCGGAACCCUCGAGUUACCGGACACCACAGUCUCAGGACGGCUGGCUCACAGUCACUUGGCUGGAGACAGCGAGCAGUGAACACGCUGUGCUGCCUGCCCAGGCCUCGAGGCCGCAGCCUCAGGACCCCUCGCAGGGAAAGCACUUGGGAACGAGUGAGAGGAUGGAUGACUAAGUCCAGGCGCAACAGGCCACUGGGCAGGAACCGCCCUGCCCUCGUGGACAGCACAGGGCAGGCCUCACCAGACCCGGCGACCGAUGACCUUGAGAUGAGAGCGAGCCCAGGCGAGGUGUCCCCGGGCCUGGCCAUCAGACGCGUAGAGCCACUGAGUCCAGGACAGGAACACUUAGGCCUGGCCGUCACUAUUGGAAAUCUGGAGGCCCAGAGCCUGGUGGAGGUCUGCAUGGUGAGGACCGCACGGGCAGGCACGCCGCCCCCACUGAUGGAGGCCUUCCUGGACAGCUGCUCCAUCUGUGAUGCCUCCUUCCCGGACCCCGCUGAGGCUUGCAUUUCCUUCCUGCAGGAGGGGAUGCUGAGAAGGUCCACCUCUUCUGUCCUUGACUCCUCGCUGGAGCUGCACUCCAGGGUGGAUCUCCCGGCUGAACUACUGACCCAGCAAGAGCAAGCUGAGCCCACUGAGGCAGAACCCAAGGCUGCAGGGCCAGCUCCAGCCCAAACUGAAGUCCCACCUGUAGAGUGUGUGCCAGCUCCACCUGCAGCUCCCUCCCCAGCUCUGGUACCACAGCCAGAGCCAGCGCCAGGAGCCCCUUCUCCACCAGGUGCACAACUGGGGGUCCCUAUGGAUGCACGCUGGGCAUCAGCUCCUGAGCUCCAGCUGGGGCAAACUCUCCUGCCCCACCCCUGCCAUUCCCGUCCAUUACUCUUGGUCAUGUUUUGGCAUAUAUUUUUGCUCUUAUUCUCUGGAUUUAUAUAAACAACAGAAUUAUUUUUAAAUGAAAGCAGAGAUUUUAGUCUUGUUUAAAAUGAUUAGCUGGGUGGCAUGAAGUGCAUUCUCUCUGCUC